CGGUCGUGUGUUUCUUCAAGUACUAAACGAAUGCACAAAAAUAGAGACAAUUAAAAGUUUGUUCUUACUAUUUUCUUUACUUUUAUUUUUAGACGCGGAAAGCUAUACGUGAAAUCGGAUUUGCUAUUUUUGCAUCUCGACAUAGCGCAGUUUGGCUUAAGAGUGCGGAAGUCGCCCUCUGCUGACGCGGUAGAGACAUGAAGGCGCAUUCACGCACCAAUAGCGUGGCCUGCAGCCGUCAGUUGUGGCAUACCUCGCUCGCGUCAUCCACAGGCGUUCGUGCGUUAAAUGGGUCAGUCGCGCUUUGUUUUAUUUCUCCUAAUUGUGCUUUUGGCAUUCGAUUCAUUUUGCUUGGGCAAUGCAAAUAAUGAAAACAAAUAAGAGCCAUUUACAUAUGUUUCAGCUGCAACCAACGAUAACAACAACUACAAUUACGAGUAAAGUAGCAAGCAAAAUAAUUGGAGCAACAACCACAAAGAAGUUACAUUUGGCGAAUUUGCAAGAUAACACACUACUUUCCACUUGAGCACUGAACACAGCCACGUCAAACACACACACAUUCGAACAGUGAAUCAGUGUUUGGAAAAAACCAAAACACAAAAUUGAAUAUUUUAAUUUCAGGUGAAAUUUCAUGUAAUCUAAAAUGUUUCAGAUGGCAGCAGCGCCUCCAGCACCUCCAGCAUCUGUGGCGCGCAAACCGGCGGCGAAAUGCGGCCAAGCAGUCACGCCUGAUUGAGUUGCAGCUAUUGUCGUUAUUGGCGCAGCUGCAAAGUCAGUUUCUUGUAAUGUUUAAGCCGGUGGCGCCUCAGGAUUUGUGUCGUGGCAACUUAAUGAAGCGCAACCCUCUCACGCGGCGUAUUCAGAGCGACACAGCACAUAUUCUCGUAAAUGGACAAGCUUACAUACACAUACACACAUAUGCCCAAAUUGGAACAUAGCUGUUAUAUACAUACAUAUGUAAGCGUUUGAUGCUUUAAGUCGCCACGGCGUUGCAUUAUGAUGCCUGGCACUUUUAUUCCCUCAGCCAUGCAACCGUGCGGUACCGUUAUGCAGUCAACUCAAACGGUUUCCGACCUAAAUACACGUUAAUCGAAAUCGCGAGAUCGAAAUCGCGAAGUUGAAAUCGAAUUCAGAAAUCAAUUUGCGCAAAAGUAUUUACACUCAAUGCUCGCAAUGCUUGUGGAUAAAUCUUUAAAUUUAUUCAUUACAAUUGAAAAUUAUGUGGAAUUUGCGUUAGAAGAGACCUUCACCAAUUUUGACAACAACAAUUUUAGACUAGGGAAAAUGCCAAUGAGGGAGCGAACCUCUAUGUAAUGCCCUUUCAAGGAGAACAAGGUGUGCCGAAUUUAAACUAAAUAUUUAACUAUCAGAAAAAUGUGGCAAUUGCUUGCAAGGAAUAUUGUCUAAACAGACGAGCAUUUGUGUGCAUAUGUACACAUGUUCAAACACUCGCUUAUACGUACUCCAUAAUUGGCUCCAAUUAAAAAAAACUUAAAGCAAACGAACGACGAAGCGACUAGGAAACUGCCAGUCAUGUCCUCCAGUGCUGGAAUGUGGUUGACCAAGUGCAAUUUGCAACUGCUGACUGGCGGCUGGCGGCUGGCGAAUGACUGGUUGGCAUGCAUAGAAUUUGCAACCACAGCAACAAUAAUGUGGCAACAACAUUAAGGAUUACUGCUGCUUUCCUAUAAACUCGUAUAAAGCUACAUAUCAAUAUACCUCUACAUCUAUGAAUGUACAUAUGUACAUUUGUAUGCUCUAAUAACAACAAAAACAAUAUGAGAACGGUUCGUGGGUACAUUGCAUACUCCUGCCACUAUUGUGCCACAUAUUGGUGUGUGUGUUUUAAACGACUGUCAGCUUGCGCCCAAGCCACGCACUAAAGCGCCAAAGGUGUACCGGACAGGCAACUAUUCAGUGCAGUGCCCGGUUGGUGGUCAAUGAUUUGAUUGCUAAAGGCCUAUGGGCUGUGGACCGGCAUUACAAUGGCCGACGUAGCGCCACCAUACGGCAUACAGAUAAUGGAUCUGGAGUAGAUACUUACGUGCGACGGUAACUGCUUACCAUAACUACUAUUUUUUACCUCAACUUACCACAAUUUCCUGUUGCUGCUCAUCGAUAGUACCCUUCAGCUCUUUGACCAGCGACUCGAGCUCUUUAUUGCGCUCCAGCAGCGUCUUUCCUAGCUCCGCGGCAAGCUGUAAGUCUGCAACGGAAAAGGUAAAAUAACACGAAUCAGCAAACAAGAAAUGUGAUAUAAAUUUACAUAACAGCAAUCUACGAGUUAGCAUGUGUACAGUCAAUUAAUAUGCAACAACAACAUACUUCAUCAGACAACAUAGCUGCAGCCAAACCCCAAAUUCGUAAUUUUCACACUGCAGUCGAGCCCAUGAAUAUGAGACGUCACACGAAAACGUAUCACGGCACCGUCAAGCCAAAAGCACCAAAUAUCAGCCGCAGAAUUUGCCAACCCAUGCCGGUGUUUUCUUAAAUCCAUUCAAGCGAGAAUUCCAAUUGACCCGAAUCGGCGAGUAGCCGAGGUACGAAAAUGUGACUGCAAUGAGCCACACACUGGCAGACUGCAUAACUUUUCCCAGAAACCGCCGCAGCCGAUACUCUCAGAUAUGCGGGUUAAUUGAGUUUGUAUAAUUUUAAUUAAAUGUGACGAAGAAGGAAUCUAAAGUCAUUUAUUUUUUAUUCGUGUAUGUGUGCAUUAAAACCAUUUGAAGAUCGAAUUAUCGAGGUUUUGAAGUUGAUUCCUUCUAAAGGUAUAUAU